rnacentral:lncRNA from 1 species
CGGAGAUUUGUGAUUGCUCUUUCUCCUCAGUAACAGCAGCCAUCCCUUUAUUCAAGACCUGAGAGGCCACAUUAUCUUUGGAGGAGGCUGGACAGCAUGAGUCGAAGGCUCUAGAGAAGAUUGAGAAUGUUCCAAAAGUCUACCACCACACUACUUUGGAAAGGCCAAGGGUAAACAGCUUCAGGGCAUGCCCACGUGGACUAGGACGGAAAAUAGUCCUUUUCAACCACAGAGAAAAGUGCAGCCUGCUCUUGCCAGUGUGGGGAGACAGAUCUUCCAGCUGGAUCACCCUUACUCCUCUUCAGGAUCGAAGAUUUCCUAGAGCAGAAGAAUUAAGAAUUGGCAAAUUAAGUUGACCAUAAAGAGGAGUGAAUGUGGAGAUGUGACAGAGGGCAAAGACCAAAUUCCUCAUGACCACCACCACCAUCACCA